AGAGUUUGAUUCUGGCUCAGGAUGAACGCUGGCGGCGUGCUUAACACAUGCAAGUCGAACGGGCUCAUAUUGAAACCUAGUGAUGUAUGAGUUAGUGGCGGACGGGUGAGUAACGCGUGGAGAACCUGCCGUAUACUGGGGGAUAACACUUAGAAAUAGGUGCUAAUACCGCAUAAGCGCACAGCUUCGCAUGAAGCAGUGUGAAAAACUCCGGUGGUAUACGAUGGAUCCGCGUCUGAUUAGCUGGUUGGCGGGGUAACAGCCCACCAAGGCGACGAUCAGUAGCCGGCCUGAGAGGGUGAACGGCCACAUUGGGACUGAGACACGGCCCAAACUCCUACGGGAGGCAGCAGUGGGGAAUAUUGCACAAUGGGGGAAACCCUGAUGCAGCGACGCCGCGUGAGUGAAGAAGUAUUUCGGUAUGUAAAGCUCUAUCAGCAGGGAAGAAAAUGACGGUACCUGACUAAGAAGCCCCGGCUAACUACGUGCCAGCAGCCGCGGUAAUACGUAGGGGGCAAGCGUUAUCCGGAUUUACUGGGUGUAAAGGGAGCGUAAACGGCAGCGCAAGUCUGAAGUGAAAUCCCAUGGCUUAACCAUGG
rnacentral:rRNA from 1 species